CAUACAGAGAGACCACCAGGGCCUGGAUUCAACUCUCCGACUCCUUCCAGAAUGUUCCAUCACUGACUGCCCUCCCCUCAGAUGUGCCUGCAACUGUCAUGGGCAUCCAUGAAGUUUGCCUGCCCGUGUCUGUUUCAGCUGCUCCUGGGCACAGCACCCUGACUUUCUAGGGGCAGCCCUGCCCCACCCUGCACCCAGCCCUGGAGUUCACGGGGCUGAUCUGCCCCAGGUCUAGGGUUGGACCCUUUACCUGUGCCAGGGCAGUAAGCACCCGAGGGUCAGCCCCAGGACUUAGGCUCAAACUCUGGGUAACAGUAAGCUCCCGUUUGCUUGGACCGAAAGGAAUGAGGAGAGGGGAGCGCUGGCCUGAGGAGGACACCACCAUGGAGGAACGCAGAGCUGAACGAGAGAGGGAGAGAAGCACCGCGUUCCGGUGAUGGGUUCCUGGAGCCAGCCAUGCCUGAAGCUGUUCGACCUCAACGGACUCUCCUCCACGUCACCCCAGGAGGGGCGCAGGACGGGGGUCCUUUUGCCAGGUUGGCAGGUACAGAGAGAUGAGGACGAAGGUGCCGGGGCUGGGACUCAAGCCCACAUCCUUGGAGCCGUUUCCUCCUAGGAGGAGCAGACCGCGGGAUCAGGAAGCCCCGUCUUUCUAGCUGUGUGUCCACGCUGGACGCAUUGAAGCCCCGGAGGCCCAUGGAAGGCGUGGGCAGUGGGGUCCCAGGAGAUGUGGGUGUCCCGGUGACACAACAUCGGAAACCACCACGUGCCACCAGAAGCUCAGAGGUCGUCUCUGCAGCUGGGAAAAGCGCACAAAGCCCAGCUGGCCGCAGCUGGUCCUGAGAGUUCUGCGGGAGCAGCUUUGUUCGUAUUUGCCCCAAACGGGAAGCAUCUGAGACCCCCUUCAGCAGGUGAUGGGUAAAGCACUGUGGUCCAUCCAGCAAUGGAAUAGUGUCCGGCAUCUUCAGCACCAAAGGGAAACGAGCUAUCGAGCCCUGAAGAGACGCGAGGAAACGUAACCGCGUGUCACCACGUGUGAGAAGCCGUCUGAAAAGUCCACGCACUGUGUGAUUCCAACUACGUGACGCCCGGGAAAAGGCAGAACUGUUUUCUGUUCAAUUUUUCU